rnacentral:rRNA from 1 species
UGGGGAAUUUUGGACAAUGGGCGAAAGCCUGAUCCAGCAAUGCCGCGUGUGUGAAGAAGGCCUUCGGGUUGUAAAGCACUUUUGUCCGGAAAGAAAUCCUUGGCUCUAAUACAGUCGGGGGAUGACGGUACCGGAAGAAUAAGCACCGGCUAACUACGUGCCAGCAGCCGCGGUAAUACGUAGGGUGCAAGCGUUAAUCGGAAUUACUGGGCGUAAAGCGUGCGCAGGCGGUUUGCUAAGACCGAUGUGAAAUCCCCGGGCUCAACCUGGGAACUGCAUUGGUGACUGGCAGGCUAGAGUAUGGCAGAGGGGGGUAGAAUUCCACGUGUAGCAGUGAAAUGCGUAGAGAUGUGGAGGAAUACCGAUGGCGAAGGCAGCCCCCUGGGCCAAAUACUGACGCUCAUGCACGAAAGCGUGGGGAGCAAAACAGGAUUAGAUACCCUGGUAGUCCACGCCCUAAAACGAUGUCAACUAGUUGUUGGGGAUUCAUUUCCUUAGUAACGUAGCUAACGCGUGAAGUUGACCGCCUGGGGAGUACGGUCGCAAGAUUAAAACUCAAAGGAAUUGACGGGGUCAUAGCUGUUUCCU